rnacentral:snRNA from 1 species
GUGCUCACUUCAGCAGCACAUAUACUAAAAUUGGAAAGACACAGAGAAGAUUAGCAUGGCCC